GAGGAACAUUCGGGCAAUCCUCCCAUUAGCGCCCUCCGGGUAGAACCCGCCGGGUACGUGCUCAUCGCCAGUUAGAUAGAGUAUCCUAAGCAACUCUGCCGGCGUUCGGCUGUAGGAGAGCGAGUCGACGUUGGCGGAGAGGAUGUUGGUGCAUAUCUUCCCCUCAGCGCCGAGCUGCUCUGGCACGAUGAGCCCCUCGUCCUUCACUCCGCACUGCCCUAGCUUGUUUCGCAGCGCCGACACACGGUCGGUGAGCUCUGCCACCGUGGCACCGUAGGGGGACACUGUCUCGCGGCGGUGCUCGAAGAGGAGGCCGCGCACGACGGCGUCCUGGCCAGACUCGACGGCGAGCAGGCCGGCGACGAGGCGCUUGGUGGCGUAGCCGUCGAUCAGCGGGUUGGUGCCCGUGUAGCCGUUGAUGCCCAGGUAAGGGAUGACGUAGACGGCCAGGAGGAAGUUGAGGCUGUUGGCGUCGGGGUCGAAGGGCGGGUCUAGGUGGUAGCCGACCGCCUCGUCCAUUACCCUGGCGAAGUUGUGUGCGCUCAGGUCUAUCAGCGGCCUUGGGAUCCCACCCACUGUCCUCUGGAUUGCCCUGCAUCGUGGCCGAUCUCCUGGUAGGCGAACUCGGCGCAGACGCGCCACGUGAGCUCGUCGAGGCCGGCCUUCCUGGCGCCCACCGGCGGCGGGCCGCCCAGCGUCAGGUUGGGGGCGAGGUGGUCCAGCCCCACGCCGAACGCCGCGUGCAGGAAGAACUCCGCCUCGGCGAACUCCAGGUUCAGCGCGAACCGCACCGGGUCCACGUCGUGCGCGAACACGGCCACCGGCGUGUGCGGCGCCGCCGCGCUGCACUGCGCCUCCCCGCCGCCGCCGCCGCCGACGCCGCCG
rnacentral:sRNA from 1 species